UCGAGAGAGGAAGAAGAAGAAGAAUAGAAGCAAUAGAUUGUUGAGAGAUUGGAAAGAUGAUGAUA
rnacentral:sRNA from 1 species